AUGACGUGGAUGCUCCAACCUGAGCUCAUGAACGACAUUCUUGGAGUCAGCCUCUCAAACUUCCCUGAUUUAUCAAAGAUUCAGUUGAGAGAAUGUGACAACAAUCACUCAAGAAACUUCAUGGCAGUACUAAGAGCCCUAAGGGAGAGGGAUUCUUCAUGUUACCAGCUGCCCCGUGUGGUACGGCAAGGCGAGCAGCCAAGAGAAGGCUUCCUACUUCUGUCCAACCUCGUCGAGGAUCAGAUGGCAGGAACAAGCAGUUACAUGGACUGGAUACUCCAAAUUCACCGCCAAACACAGAGCUCGUGA
rnacentral:rRNA from 1 species